rnacentral:misc_RNA from 1 species
GUGAUGAGUUAUAUUACAACCAUAAUAUAUGUUUACUAUGCAGUUAAGAUAAUGUACAGGCAAUGUAGUAGCACAGCUUACCUGUAUCAAAGUUACAUAAGCUGGAAAAAGAAGGUCUCCGCCGAAUAUAAAACUCUACAUAUCUCCAAAUUGCCGAUGCCACUAUGAAUCUCGAUGAUCUUAUGAGCCGAAACUAGAGUAUUACACUGUUCUCGGACUCACUUGUUUUGACUACUGGUGGAGAAGAUACUGGAUCUCUCUGCCCAGCUAUAUUUAGUCGUAAUGGCCGUCCUUCAAGAUCCACUUCAUUCAUGGUAUCGAGUGCAUUGUUCAUUGCUUCAGCAGAAGAAAAUGUAAUGAAACCAAAACCUCGAGAUCUUCCCGAGGCCCUGUCAUAGAUGACUUUUGCACUUAAGAAUCCUGGCUGGUCAGCAAAAGCAUCUUUCAGACCUUGAGACGUGAGGUUCCAGCUAAGAUUCGCAACGUAUAGUUUGUGAGGGCUGUCUACAAAACCUUGAUAGGUGCUUCUUAUCUUUGCACUCAUUACUUGCCUUUCACCUCCUCUUGGAACCUCGGGGAAGUUUACCUUGAUAGGUGCUUCUUAUCUUUGCACUCAUUACUUGCCUUUCACCUCCUCUUGGAACCUCGGGGAAGUUUACCUUGACCGUACGACCUCCAACUUGAGAUCCAUCAAACAACCGAACUGCCUCCUUUGCAUCUUCAACACUUCCCAUUGUAACAAAUGCAAAUCCACGACUUCUAUCUGUAACUCUAUCAUAAACGAUCUCAACAUUAGCAACUUUACCAGCUUCAGCAAAAAUUUCAGACAAUUGAGAAGGUGUCAUUGAAAAUGGCAAAUUACCCACAUACAAUCUACCAUCUUCAAUCGAUUUAGGCUCAUCAACAACCCCAUCUUCUUCUUUCUCCAAACUCUCACCUCCCUCAUUCUCUUCAUCUUCUUCAAUUUCCUCUUCAGCUGACAAUUCAGCUUCCUCAUCUAAUCCAACAACCCCAGCUCCAUCAGACACAGCAGAAGUAGAAAAAUGAGUUGAAAUUCGACUGAAAGAAGCUAAAAGAGAAGAAAUGGGGAAAUGGGGUUUCGAUUUUAUGGGGUUUAUGGAGUUAUUAAUCUUGAAAUUGAAAUGGGUAUUGUUAAUACUGGUAGAAAUGUGCUCUACUACUGAGAAU